rnacentral:ribozyme from 1 species
CCCUCUCUCUCUUCCCUCUCUCUUCCCUCUCUCUCUUUCCUCUCUCUUUCUGUCUCCUUGUCUCCCUAGC